rnacentral:rRNA from 1 species
UACGGGGGGGGCAAGCGUUGUUCGGAAUUACUGGGCGUAAAGGGCUCGUAGGCGGCCAACUAAGUCAUGCGUGAAAUCCCUCGGCUUAACCGGGGAACUGCGUCUGAUACUGGAUGGCUUGAGUUCGGGAGAGGGAUGCGGAAUUCCAGGUGUAGCGGUGAAAUGCGUAGAUAUCUGGAGGAACACCGGUGGCGAAGGCGGCAUCCUGGACCGACACUGACGCUGAGGAGCGAAAGCGUGGGGAGCGAACAGG